UUGAACGCUGGCGGCAUGCUUUACACAUGCAAGUCGAACGGCAGCGGGGGCUUCGGCCUGCCGGCGAGUGGCGAACGGGUGAGUAAUACAUCGGAACGUGCCCUGAAGUGGGGGAUAACGUAGCGAAAGUUACGCUAAUACCGCAUAUUCUGUGAGCAGGAAAGCAGGGGAUCGCAAGACCUUGCGCUUUAGGAGCGGCCGAUGUCGGAUUAGCUAGUUGGUGGGGUAAAGGCCUACCAAGGCGACGAUCCGUAGCUGGUCUGAGAGGAUGAUCAGCCACACUGGGACUGAGACACGGCCCAGACUCCUACGGGAGGCAGCAGUGGGGAAUUUUGGACAAUGGGCGCAAGCCUGAUCCAGCCAUGCCGCGUGAGUGAAGAAGGCCUUCGGGUUGUAAAGCUCUUUCAGACGGAAAGAAAUCGGGCGCGUGAAUAGCGUGCCUGGAUGACGGUACUGUCAGAAGAAGCACCGGCUAACUACGU
rnacentral:rRNA from 1 species